rnacentral:piRNA from 1 species
UGGGCCUGUAGCUACUGGUUCUGCUUCC